AUGGAGCCUGGUCCAGGGCCAGCCAGGGUGCUCAGUCUCGCCCACCCGCGUCACGGUGACCAAUCAGACGUCAGCCGGGCCUCCCCGUCAGAUAAGGAAGUGCACUGUGAUCCCACAAGGGCCCGAGUGCUUCUGCCCCCAAAUCCAUGUGUCGCGAUCCUUCUCCCAGGGGCGGUACUGAGAGGGGCCUUGGAGGUGAUCUGUUGUGAUGCUGGAGUCCCCCUGAAUGGACUUAGCACCUCUGAAAGGGACGUGUGGCGCUCUCUGCUACCCGGGCCUCGGACUCCCAUCCUCCAGGAUGUGACGCAGUCUGUGUUGCUUGAGACCCACCUGGUCCCUGGCCCUUGGUCCCAGUGGCCUGGACGUCCAAGGGCAUCCACUUCCGACCCCAAGAGUGUCCCGUGCAGGACAAGCAAUGACGCAGCAGGAGAAGACACUGCCCAAAGUCAGCCUGACCAAGAGCCAGAGCCUGUGAGCCCUGAGCUGCCGUCCAGGGGGCCCAGAAAGGAAUGCAGGAGGCACCCUGGAGGCGAGAACCCACGUGGACGUCGGUCAGGGUGCCUCUGCAAGGAGUGUCCAGUGCCCUGCAGUGGGCAGCAACAGAGAUGGCAGCUUUGGAGCCACCAAAAAGGCCAGACAAGACACUGGGGGAAGCCACACCUGGUGACGAGCAUUCCCUGGUGGCCGCACAGAAGAGCCGGCGCGGACGAGGGGAGACAGAUAGCUCAAGCUGCAGCCGGCUGACCGCUGACCGAGGAGGCCCUGUGGAUCGCUGUCCUCUGCCCCGGCUGCCUCUGUGCCGCUCUCAGGCCACACUGUCAGGUGGGGUUCCCAGAACGUCUCGGUUCUGGAGCUGCCAGGUCCCCCACCCACCUGCCUUGCUCUGCCCACGUCAGGGCUACUGCACCUGACCAGCUGGGGACACCCCAGCCUGGAGAUGCCCCUUUGGACUUCCCCUCCCUGACACCACCAGCCGCAGCAGGGGUGGCCUUGAACCUUGUCCCCUCCCCCAAACCUGCUCCAAGAGCGAGGGCCACACUCCCCAUCUUGCUGGUGAGGCAAAGGUACCCAUGGUCUGGGGGACUUGUGCCCAAGACCUGGCCUCUGGCACCUUCCUGAGUGGUUCCCAGAGAUGGCCACACGGUGCCUGCCUAUGGGACACGCACAGGUGCUGGCCAGGGCUUCAGGGGGACAGAGCCCAGGACAAUUCCAGGUGAGAGGGGGACAGUCCUCUUUCACCCUGAUGGUGGCUCAGGUGACAGACAGGACAGGAGUCUAUGUUUGGGACACCGGACACUGCAUGGCUGACUUGUGUGGAUGCAGAACCUGGACAGGGAACCGGAGCUCAGAGCCCAGAGUCCUGGGGAUAGUCUCCCUCCCGGGCUCUCCCAGGUCCUGGGACAAGAGAGUGCCAAGUCCACGCGUGCCCACAGAGGAAGCCAUCUGGUGAAGGCGCACUGCCUGCGUCCUUGGACGACCCAGUUCUGACGGGGUGCUGGGACGCAGGGCCAGAGGCCUCCGGGGGACAAAGCCCUCAUGGGCGCUGAUGGCCAAUGGCCACGUGCACCUGCAGGGAACCUCGAUGUGGGCCGGGCAGGAUGAGCCCAGCUGCCCUU
rnacentral:lncRNA from 1 species